rnacentral:SRP_RNA from 1 species
GGCGCGUCGGGCGACCAGCUCCUGCAAAACCUCCCCAGGGCAGAAAUGCAGCAAGGAUAUGUGGUCGAAGCGGUGUGCCCGGCGUUUUUUU